GGGAGCAGACAUAGCUCAGUGGUGGAACAUCUGCCUUCCACGUAGAAGGUCCUAGGUUCAAUCCUGGCUGGAUUUGUGCUUCCC